AAUUCACAUAAUGAGCUCAAAGCUAGAC
rnacentral:sRNA from 1 species